rnacentral:rRNA from 1 species
GACGAACGCUGGCGGCGUGCUUAACACAUGCAAGUCGAACGGAAAGGCCCUGCUUUUGUGGGGUGCUCGAGUGGCGAACGGGUGAGUAACACGUGAGUAACCUGCCCUUGACUUUGGGAUAACUUCAGGAAACUGGGGCUAAUACCGGAUAGGAGCUCCUGCUGCAUGGUGGGGGUUGGAAAGUUUCGGCGGUUGGGGAUGGACUCGCGGCUUAUCAGCUUGUUGGUGGGGUAGUGGCUUACCAAGGCUUUGACGGGUAGCCGGCCUGAGAGGGUGACCGGCCACAUUGGGACUGAGAUACGGCCCAGACUCCUACGGGAGGCAGCAGUGGGGAAUAUUGCACAAUGGGCGGAAGCCGGAUGCAGCAACGCCGCGUGCGGGAUGACGGCCUUCGGUUUGUAAACCGCUUUCGCCUGUGACGAAGCGUGAGUGACGGUAAUGGGUAAAGAAGCACGGGCUAACUACGUG